CCAGGCUUGAACAGCGAGUGACAAACUACGAAAGUGGUCUUCCGCAAGGACACUCGUAGAGGUGCUGCAUGGCUGUCGUCAGCUCGUGUCGUGAGAUGUUGGGUUAAGUCCCGCAACGAGCGCAACCCUUGUCUGCUGUUGCCAUCAGGUUAAGCUGGGCACUCUGCAGAGACUGCCGGUGAUAAACCGGAGGAAGGUGGGGAUGACGUCAAGUCAGCAUGGCCUUUAUGUCUGGGGCUACACACGUGCUACAAUGGCCGAUACAAACCGUCGCGAGCCCGCAAGGGGGAGCUAAUCGGAGAAAGUCGGUCUCAGUUCGGAUAGCAGGCUGCAACUCGCCUGCUUGAAGUUGGAAUCGCUAGUAAUCGCGGAUCAGCACGCCGCGGUGAAUACGUUCCC
rnacentral:rRNA from 1 species